CUCUAACCCUAAACAUACCCUUCAUUUCGCCCCACCUCAGUCCAAUCGUCUUCCUAAGCGUGUUUCUCUCAAAUCACGAUCUCUUUGCUCACCCGCUGUUUAUGAUCGUUGGCCAGACAGAACGCAUCAACCGCCACUGCCAAAUCCACGAACAACUUCUAGACAUCCGUAGAGAUGAUCAAUCCAAAGAUUGGUUCAUUCUGUUGUUGAUGAACAUUCGGGAUUGUGUGUCCCGGAUGAAACACAAACUGAAGUUUUUUUAAUUAUGGGAGAUAUGCUUCAUAGUUAUGUUAAGUGGCCUAGACAAUAUGUAAAGCUUUUGAACGGAGAUGCACCAAGCAAAUCAAGCGGGUAUAUGGUAAUUAAACAUAUGAAAGAGUUUAUCGACUCUAUACAACAUGAUUUGGUUAACCGACUUUGGAACGAAGAAGAGCAUUUUGAAGAAUCUCAAAUUGAGAAUUUAGUGGUAUAGAUUUAGUGUCGGGAUUUAUUAAAAAGAUGUUUUGAUGUUGUAAGCAUUAGUUUGUGUUUCAUACUUUUGUAACUCGAUAUACUUGAGCGGGUUGUUUAAUACUAGUCAAAUUUUGUCGUGAGCAUAGGUAUUUAUGUAUAAUUGGAAUUUUAUUGGGAAAUAUUAAUGAAAAUUCUGGAA